rnacentral:piRNA from 1 species
CAGGAGAAGGUGCUAGGUUGAGGCCUC